AGAUUAAGUUAUUAAGGGCGCACGGUGGAUGCCUUGGCACUAGAAGCCGAUGAAGGACGUUACUAACGACGAUAUGCUUUGGGGAGCUGUAAGUAAGCUUUGAUCCAGAGAUUUCCGAAUGGGGAAACCCAGCAUGAGUUAUGUCAUGUUAUCGAUAUGUGAAUACAUAGCAUAUCAGAAGGCACACCCGGAGAACUGAAACAUCUUAGUACCCGGAGGAAGAGAAAGAAAAUUCGAUUCCCUUAGUAGCGGCGAGCGAAACGGGAAG
rnacentral:rRNA from 1 species